rnacentral:rRNA from 1 species
GUAGUCCACGCCGUAAACGAUGGAUACUAGCUGUUCGGGUUUACCUGAGUGGCUAAGCGAAAGUGAUAAGUAUCCCACCUGGGGAGUACGGGCGCAAGCCUGAAACUCAAAGGAAUUGACGGGGGCCCGCACAAGCGGUGGAGCAUGUGGUUUAAUUCGAUGAUACGCGAGGAACCUUACCAGGGCUUAAAUGUAGAUUGCAUUAGGUGGAGACACUUAUUUCUUCGGACCAUCUACAAGGUGCUGCAUGGUUGUCGUCAGCUCGUGCCGUGAGGUGUCAGGUUAAGUCCUAUAACGAGCGCAACCCCUGUUGUUAGUUGCCAGCGAGUCAUGUCGGGAACUCUAGCAAGACUGCCAGUGCAAACUGUGA